CAGUCGCCGCGGGAAUACAGAGGGUGCGAGCGUUAAUCGGAUUUACUGGGCGUAAAGCGUGCGUAGGCGGCUUCUUAAGUCGGAUGUGAAAUCCCUGAGCUUAACUUAGGAAUUGCAUUCGAUACUGGGAAGCUAGAGUAUGGGAGAGGAUGGUAGAAUUCCAGGUGUAGCGGUGAAAUGCGUAGAGAUCUGGAGGAAUACCGAUGGCGAAGGCAGCCAUCUGGCCUAAUACUGACGCUGAGGUACGAAAUCAUGGGGAGCAAACAGGAUUAGAUACCCCGGUAGUCCCUGUCUCUUAUAC
rnacentral:rRNA from 1 species